UUCCGGUUGAUCCUGCCGGACCUGACUGCUAUCGGAUUGAUACUAAGCCAUGCGAGUCAUUGUAGUAAUACAAGGCAGACGGCUCAGUAACGCGUAGUCAACCUACCCUAUGGACGGGGAUAACCUCGGGAAACUGAGAAUAAUACCCGAUAGAACAUUAUGCCUGGAAUGGUUUAUGUUUCAAAUAAUUUAUUGCCGUAGGAUGGGACUGCGGCCUAUCAGUUUGUUGGUGAGGUAAUGGCCCACCAAGACUAUUACAGGUACGGGCUCUGAGAGGAGUAGCCCGGAGAUGGGUACUGAGACACGGACCCAGGCCCUAUGGGGCGCAGCAGGCGAGAAAACUUUGCAAUGUGCGAAAGCACGACAAGGUUAAUCCGAGUGGUUUCUGCUAAAGGAACCUUUUGUCAGUCCUAGAAACACUGAUGAAUAAGGGGUGGGCAAGUUCUGGUGUCAGCCGCCGCGGUAAAACCAGCACCUCAAGUGGUCAGGAUGAUUAUUGGGCCUAAAGCAUCCGUAGCCUGCUUUGUAAGUUUUCGGUUAAAUCCAUACGCUCAACGUAUGGGCUGCCGGGAAUACUGCAAAGCUAGGGAGUGGGAGAGGUAGACGGUACUCGGUAGGAAGGGGUAAAAUCCUUUGAUCUAUUGAUGACCACCUGUGGCGAAGGCGGUCUACCAGAACACGUCCGACGGUGAGGGAUGAAAGCUGGGGGAGCAAACCGGAUUAGAUACCCGGGUAGUCCCAGCUGUAAACUAUGCAAACUCAGUGAUGCAUUGGCUUGAUGCCAAUGCAGUGCUGCAGGGAAGCCGUUAAGUUUGCCGCCUGGGAAGUACGUACGCAAGUAUGAAACUUAAAGGAAUUGGCGGGGGAGCACCACAAGGGGUGAAGCCUGCGGUUCAAUUGGACUCAACGCCGGU
rnacentral:rRNA from 1 species